rnacentral:lncRNA from 1 species
AUUGCGCCAGCACCAUUGCAUGCAACUUGACCAGAUGCACAAUCGGCAGUGGCACAAGUAAACUGUCCGUUGUUGGUUGAGCAUCCGGUUCGGGCCCAAAAUCGACCUGACCAUGGGGAAGGAAUUUCCGCUGAGUUCGUUGCUCCAGGUCCUAACUCGAAACCUGUUGUUGAUAGCUGAGGUUUUUGGUCUCCGGUUAAGGUUCCUGGCCAUACGGUGUAUCCACAUCUAUUCGUGAAUGUUACCGUGGCUCCUCUAGCAGCUGCAUACAAAAAUUAAAUUUUUACACAAGUAUUAUAAAUUUUCAUUAAUGCAUAUAUAUAUAUAUAUAUAUAUAUAUAUAUAUAUAUAUAUAUAUAUAUAUAUAUAUAUAUACCCACUAGUUUUUAUGUGGGAUGUUUUAGCAAAGCUACACCUUAAGGUGUGUUUAACCACUUUUUAGUUAUUCACUUGCUAAAAUACUCCUUCUAAAAAAUAAGUGGGUGUAUUCUAGCAAAUGCCUAUAGGAUUGAUUUGCUAGAACACACCCACUUGUUUUUUAGAAGGUGUGUUAUAGCAACAUACACCUUAAGGUGUAUUUAUUAACUUUUUAGUCAUAACUUGCUAAAACACUCCCACAUAAAAACUAGUGGGUGUGUUCUAGCAAAUCCAUAUAUAUAUAUAUAUAUAUAUAUAUAUAUAUAUAUAUAUGAUUCAAACAUUUAAGAAUUUAAAGAAUUUAGGUGAGAUCUACGCUAUCAAUAUCAUUAAAGAAUUUAAGGUAAGUUAUAAAAAAAUCACGUGUAAAUUAACAAGUAGUACUCACAAACUAACUUUCAUUUUUUUUUUUGCAAAUUUCUUCAAAGGUAAGCUAGAAAUAUAUAUAUAUAUAUAUAUAUAUAUAUAUAUAUAUAUAUAUAUUAUAAAAAAUUAUUUUGCAAGAUUGUAUAAAUAUACUUUUACAUACAUAAUGAAUAUAAUAACCGAUAGUAUUUAGAUAACUACAAGAAAAAAAAAAUGUGAUAAAGAAAACAAGGAAAUAAAGGAAAUUUAGAAAGCAAUACAUAAAAGAUAACGAGUAUAAAUCUAAGGACUAUGUAGAUUUACUACGCAGAUUUUAUAAGCAAAAUAUAUAUCAUUUUUAAAACUGAUCUAAAUGAAUUCAUUAAGCUUAUGGAAAAUGUAGUGGAAAUGAAAUGAAAUAUACCAUAGAAGAGGAAUGCAAAGCUAAGGCAGAGAGCAACACGUGUAAUCGCCAUAUUCUUGUUAUUGGUUUAUCUUUUUGGAUUGCAGUUUUGUAAGUGAUGAAAAUUGCUAUCUGCUUCUUGCCAAUUUAUAAGUUUGGAGGGUUGAAUCUUCAACGAUCAAUAUUUGAUUCAGUCAAUAAAAAUGGAGAAGUAUUUGUUUGGACCUUAUGGAACAAAUUUACGGGAGUUUAUAUUUAACCUCCAUGUGUAUAGAAAACAAAAAUAUUCAGCCACCAUAUAGAUUGGAAAAGUCUCAAAUCUUAAUAGAUAUUUUCCUUGUACAUUUAUUGUUGAAGAAACAUAAUAGAUUGAAAUAGUUAAUUAAUUUAUUUAUUUAUUUACGUUUAUAUAUCAAGUAGUUGAAAGGAUUUAUUGAAGAUCGGUUCAAUUGAUAUAUUUGGUGGGAAAAUAAUACAGAUUUAUUUAUUGGAUAAUAUUAACACAAUUUCUAUAUUUAGUUAUGAUAUAAGUAUUAUAUAUAUUUUUUUUCAAUUAUUCCAAACACAAUUUCAUUCUAUUGAAUUAUUUUGUAACCCAAAAAAAAAAAGAUUCCUGUCACAAAUAAGCUAUAAAUGAAUCUAUUAAACAUUAGGCAGAAAUAAGACCAAACUUGUCUAUGCACAAUUAUCAUAAGCAAUUCUAAAGACAUAUCACAAUUUCAUAAUCCAAACCAUCAUUUAUCAAGCACUGAACUGAAUUAUAAUUGGUAUUGAACAUUGCAUUAAUCUGGCAAAAAAAUAAAAGGGAUUUGAAGAAUCUUAAUCACCGUCAAACAUUUAAAUCAAACUGGCCUCUACUUUUUCGCAAUCAAAACUAUUACUUUCAUCAUGCAUACAAUUCAAAAUUGCAGUCCAUAAACCCUUUUAGUGCUUUUAUAAUCAAUAAGUUUAGUUAAUCGUAGAAUUGACGACAAUCUCAAUGAAGGCUAACCUAUCACUUUAUCACAUAUUAGAGUUUGAUGCACUUUUCAAAUUUGUUAUCAACAUACUUCCUCCACCCAUUUCACUUUUCAAUAUAAUAUUAAUUUAUUUUUUUUUUCAUUUAUAGCUAUAAGUAAUAUUACUUUCACCAUUUUCAAUUCAAUAUAUUCCACUUUGCAUUUAUGAUAAUAGUAAAUGAACCAAUACUUAAUAAGAGCACUUAAAAUCAUUUUUCUCUCUCCUUCACUUAUACAUUUUUCGUAAUAAGUGUGAAUUGAACAAAUGACUCACUUAAUUUAGGAUGGAGAGAGUACUAUAUAACCUAAAUUAUCCUAUACAAUAUAUAAUUGUUAUCCUACAAAUUAUUUGUUUUUUUUUUGGGUAACCGAGUGAGAUGAAUAUUUUUAUGCUCUUGUGAUAACCAAAUGGAAAAAUGAAGUUGUUAACUUGGAAUGUACGGGGGUUGGAGAAGAGGAGGGAGGUGUGGUUGUUGGUGGGGGAGAAGCGGCCUUACAUUCUUGCAAGAAACUAAGUUAUUAACUUGUGAUGAUUCAGUGUUUCUUCAUUGUGGGGAAAUUCGAGUCAUGCUUUCUAAUUUCGUCCUUCAGUGGGGGCGUCGGGAGUGGGGGGAGGGGGGGUUGCUGACAUUGUGGGACAAUUCAGAGGUGGAGGUGUGGUCUUCUUUUAGUCCAGAGCAUGUGCUUAUAAUUCAUGGUAGGUUUAUCCGAACAAAUGAGGUGUUUUAUUUGUUUAAUGUUUAUGCUCCUUGUGACUUAAGAGCAAAACAAAAGUUAUGGACAUCUUUAUCAGAGAGAUUCAGAUAUUAAGGGGGGAAAAAAUUUGUGUGUGCGUGGAGACUUUAAUGCAGUCAAAUGUGCAGAUGAAAGACGCCUGUUAGGGGGGUGGUGGUACGCAGGACAACCCCUCUUUCAAUCAGUUUAUUGAUUAAAAUGUGUUGAUAGAUUUACCUUUAUGCAGCCGCAGAUAUACGUGGUUCAAGGGUGAUGGUCUCUCUAUGAGUAGGAUUGAUCGGUUUUUAUUGUCUGAGGAGUGGUGUCUACAACAGACUAAUUGUGUUCAGGUAGCCAUUCUUCGGGGUUUGUCUGAUCAUUGUUCGUUACAGUUGUUUGUAGAUGAGAAAAAUUGGGGUCCUCGUCCUUCACGUAUGUUGAAAUGUUGGCAGGAUAUGUCAGGGUAUAAGAAAAUUGUGUGUGAUAAAUGGAAAUCUUUUCAGAUUGACGGAUGGGACGGCUAUGUGUUAAAAGAGAAACUGAAAUUAAUUAAGUUGGUUCUGAAAGAGUUUCUAAAAAUAUUCCAGCAAGGAUUGAGUCUCUAAAAAAUCGUUUAUCAGUGUUUGAUGGGAAAGGGGAGGGCGCAGGGUUGUCACCAGAAGAAAUAGUAGACAUGAGGAGUGUAACACAUGAGAUUCAUUCUCUGUCUCGUGUUAACACUAGCAUUGGUUGACAGCAAAUGCAGUUACUUUGGUUGAAGGAUGGUGAUGCUAAUUCUAAGUAUUUUCAUUCGGUGUUGUCUAGUCGAAGGAGACGUAAUUCCAUUGUCUCUCUUUCGGUGAACGACACUCUGGUGGAAGGAUUUUAACCUCUUAAAACUCUAUCUCAUGUGGAGGGAGGGGGCUUGGUAAAACCUUUUUCAGUUGAUGAAGUUAAGGCUGCGGUGUGGGAUUGUGAUAGUUAUAAGAGUCUCGGACCGGAUGGUGUUACUUUUGGCUUCAUUAAGGAGUUUUGGAAUGAUUUAAAGGAGGAUGUCAAGCGAUUUAUUACUAAGUUUCACAGGAACGUAAAAUUGUCAAGAGGUAUAAAUACUACUUUUAUAGCUCUUAUUCCCAAAGUUGAUAGUCCUCGGCAUUUAAAUGAUUUCCGAUCUAUUUCCUUGGUUGGUUGUCUGUACAAAAUUUUGACAAAAGAGCUAGCAAACCGAUUGAGACUGGUUGUGGGAAGUGUAAUUUCAGAGACUCAGACUGCUUUUGUAAAAGAUAGAAAAAUUCUAAAUGGAAUCUUUAUUGCUAAUGAGGUAGUAGAUGAGGCCCGUAAGUCUAAGAAGGAGUUGAUGCUAUUUAAAGUGGACUUCGAAAAAGCCUACGAUUCGGUCGAUUGGGGGUAUCUGGAUGCAGUAAUGUGUAAAGUUUGUUUACAAAAGGAGCAUUGUGGUUUGGGGGUGAGGAAGUUGCGGGAGUUUAAUCUUGCAUUGUUAGGAAAGUGGUGUUGGAGGUUGUUGGUUGAUAGAGGAGGUUUAUGGUAUAUGGUGUUGGUUGCUAGGUAUGGUGAGGAGGCAGGGAGGUUGAAGUGUAGGGUUUUACUUAACAAUAUUGUUUUGUAGCCUAAUGUAUCUAACAGGUGGCACUGGCAUCCCGACAUUGAGGGGGGUUACACAGUGCGUGGAGCUUAUCAAAUUCUCACUUCUCAGGUUUCCACUAGUGUUGAUGUCACGGAGGUCCUUAUCUGGCAUAAGCAGGUACCCUUGAAGGUCUCUAUUCUUGCUUGGUGAUUUUUGCGAGACAGGUUGUCGACAAAAACCAACUUACUGCACCGUGAAAUUAUCUUAUUCGAGGCUAGCAUGUGUGUUGCGGGGUGCGGACAUGUCGAGUUUGCAUCAUAUUUGUUUCUGCAUCGCGAUAUAUUUGGAUCAUUAUGGCAGCAUGCCAGGUCUUGGUUUGGUGUUUCAGGAGUAGAACCACAUAGUAUUCGAGAUCAUUUUAUUCACUUUACUCAUUAUCUAGGUGGUUUGAAGGCGAGGUGCUCUUUUCUUCAACUUUUAUGGCUUCUUUGCAUUUGGUUAGUUUGGAAUGAACGUUAUAACAUGUUAUUAAAUAAUAUCCAAACUCCCAUCAUAGAUCUUAGGAAAAAGUUAAGUAUACUUCUUAUUGGUGGUUGAAGGCUAAUAAUGUCACUUUUGUAUAUGGCUCUCAGUGAUGGUGGUCGGACCCAUUGUUAUGCUUGGGUAUCGGCUGACUGUAGUUUUUGUACCUAUAUACCUGACUGAUUGUAUUUUGGAGUGUCCUUUUUAGUACACCUUGUGCUAUUGAGGUUCCACCAUCUCGUUGUUAAUAUAUUUUAUUUUUGAUUCUUCAAAAAAAAAAAUGGAAAAAUGGAGAGGAGAAGGAAGGAUAAGUUGUAAGGUUUACCGAUUUAUAUGAAAUAAAUAAAAAUCAGAUUUUGAGAAAGAAAAAAAACAUUUGGUUUCGAAUGAGAUUUUUAUCUAUCAUGAGGUACAUCUUGGUGAAGCUCUAGGAUUGUUAUCAACAUUAGAUUGGACUCAUGACUUGAAUUUAUGAUCUAUUUAUUUUGAGCUUGAUGCUAAAAAGGUGGUGAAUAGUUUUUCAUCCUCAAUGCAUGAUGUCACGUAGUUUGUGAUGAUCAUCCAAAAUUGUAAAGAUAUUUCAAAACAAUAUUAUGUUAACUCCAGUGUUGAGUUUGUAAGGAAUUAAGCAAAUAAGACAACCAAUAGUUUAGCUAAGACGGCCAUAUCUUCUGCUAGUUUCAAAUAUGGAUAAAAAUGCCAAAUUGUAUUGAGCUCAUUAUCACUAAUGAAAUGCUAUAAAUUUCGUCCUUUAAAAAAUGUUUUUCGUGUGAUUCUCCACCAAAUUUUAACCAUCCCAUGGCUUAAUGGAAGUGAACGGGUCUAUAUUAUUAUUGAAUUAGAUGUAAGUUUAUCAUUAAUUCCACUAUAUUACUGAAAUAAUUAAAAGUGACGGUGAUUAAGGAAAAAUGGUGGUAAUUAAAUUUCUCAUUAUAGCACUCAUUUCGUCUCAAAUUAGGUGUUAUUUUCCUUAAUUUUCGUUGUCUCAAAUUAUUUGUCCAUUGGUUCCGCUAGAGCAGCAUAGUCCUUCAAAUAGCUCUACCCACUCUGAGGCGAUCUCUACUACUUACAAGUUAGCUGCCCUUGAUCAUCCAUCUUCAGGCUUCACUCGAUGGGUUUCUAUUCCUCGUCUCUCAGAGGACUUUUUAGGGGUUGUAAUAUCUCUAAUUUUUGUUUCUGUUGAUAAUUUUUUUUCUUCCUUUUCUUCUCUUUGCGUUUUCUCUUUUUGGGGUAACGGUGUAAUCGCCCCCUAUUUGUGUGUGUGUGUGUAUACAUUUUCUUCACUUUUUUAUAUAUACAUUUUUUUAAAACAACUUUUUUAUAUACACAUGAACACUUGACAUAUGAUUAAAGGGCACAAAGGGUGUCAAUCAAGUUAGGAUGUCUGGUGGUCUAUUUGAUGUCAUUAUGCUCAUGAUUGAUAAAAAAAAUGCAACAUUUAUUAUUCUUUUAUAAUAAUGUAUCUUUAGUUAUUGGAUUUCAAUCAUCUAUAAUUGUUUCAUUAACUAUAAUUAAUAAGGACAUUUUUGUAAAUGAUAUACAUUUUACUAUUAUGGUCUGUUUGAUAGUCAGGAUAAAGAGACAUGAUAUAAUUAAUAUAUAUACAUCAUAUUUUAAUCUUCUGUUUGAUGCACCAAUGAGAAAGGAUAAGUUAUUUCUUUUACUUAUCCUAUCAUAUAACUCUUCUGCGAUUUUUGUCAUACGUUUAAGACAUGCUUAAUACAACAUGAAUAUGAUCAGAUUUACAACAUGUUUGAUCUAUCAAAGAUAUAUAUUAAAUGUAUUAGGAAUAUCUUGAUCCAUGAUGAAAGAAUUCUCUGGCAUCAAUAUAAAACACAUCAGAAAAGAUAGCAGCAACAACUAAUUUGAUUCUUCUUUAAUUGAUACAUAUAUGCCCCAAACUCUCUUCAGACGGGGAGACAAGAUUAGAUGAUGUGUUGUGUACGGUGUAUUGGAGACCAUAGUCUUAUAUAUGGUGAUGACCAACUAGGGUUUCUCAUUAUUCCGUUAUUGAGUCAUCCAGACAUCAUUCAUACUAAGCCUAUAUUAAUUAAUUAAGGGUCUUGUUAACAAGUACCACCGAGACAUUCUUUAAGAAUUCUAAAAUAAGAAAUUAUUUUAUAGAAAAAUCAAACAAUUUUCAGGGACACUCAUUAACAUUUUCCAUUAAUUAAUUAUCUAAAUAAAAAUCUAAUAAGUAUUAUUACUUAAAUUGAUCAUUAAUUAAUUAAGACUUCAAAUUAAUAAAUAACUAAUAUAACUAUAUAAAAACUUUAAUCCACGUAAUAACAUUGAAAUAUAAUUAAAUAAUAAAAUAUUUUAAUAGGAGGUGUUUAUUGAGACAAGUCUUUGAUGGUAUAUUCGAUCGGCUCUUUUUGGUUAUCCCCUCUGAUUUGUUGAUCUUGCUUUGGUUCAUUUGUUUUAUGCACUUGUAUUUUAGUAUUUUUACCAUUCUAUCUUACCAUUCUAAUUUGCAUUUAUUUUUAAGCUUAAUUUCACUUUUGGAUCCCUAUCUUUCUAAAAGUUGUGGUUAUGGACUCCUAACUAAUUUAAAUACAAAACUACCCCUAUGUUUUGAUUCUUUGGCAGUUUUGGACUCCCAAUCCAUUGUUGACUCGGUCAACGCUGACGUGGCAUCUUAAGUGAGGUGCCACGUGUCAUUUUUUUUUUUUUUUUUACCUUGGGGGUCCAAAACUGCCAAAAAAUCAAAAUAUAGGGGGCUGUUUUGUAUUUAAAUUAGUUAGGGAUCCAUAACCGCAACUUUUGGAAAGAUAGGGGUCCAAAAGUGCAAUUAAGCCUUAUUUUUAUGCACUUGGUUAUCCCCUCACAUAUUUAUUUUUAUGCACCUCACACACACAAAAUGGAGGUGACGGGUUCGAACUCCGGUCAUGACGUCCGGAUUAACAAUUUUGACAUUUUGUGACAGUUAUGCUAGGAUUUAUGAGACCUCAUUCAUUGCGUUCGAAUGACUUAUUAAUUUUUUUUUUUGUUUCUUUAGAAAAAAGGUCCAUACAAACCGACAACACAUAUGUGAAAUCUACUAUGUUAUGUUACCUUCCAUUUUCUUCCGUGUUUCAGAGAUUAAGGCCAGUAAAAACCAACUUUGAAACCAUACAAACACAAAUUCUCCUUCUAUGCCUAACUUUUUGAAAAUGUUUCAAAUUUAAGAAGGUUCCAAUAAUUUUUUUUUGACGGAUCCAAAUUAAGGGUUAUUAUUACAUGAGUUACACGCAAGGGAAUAGUUGUUACCUCUUACUUUUAUAUUCAAAUAUGCAAAUUAAGGAGUAAUUAAAGGACUUGAGUCCUAAGAGGACAAAAUUGACUGGUACAUCAAACACUCUCCAACCCUCACGGCACGUCUCAAUACUAAUUAAUUUCUAUAGAUUGAAGAAGACUUGAAUAAGCUCUUUUCUCACCAGACAAAUUUAGUAUAUGUACUUAAUAAAUUCAGAGCAUUUGAGGCCUCACUGCCUUUGGUACCACGUACAUGCACAUGUACAAACUUUUCUCCAUCAAUAUCAUCAAUUCUUACACCACAAUGAUGUGCAAUUCAAAGAAAGAGAAUAAAUAAUCUUGUGCACCGACACCGUAAUCAAUCCAUUCAGGUGUUAAGGGCAAUUUAAUUAUCGCCGCUAAUUUUUCAUGCAUGUAUGUAAUUAAUUUGUAAAGCAAUGCAAUACACAGUUCCAUCACUAUUAUAAGAAGAUUUUUUUUUUUUUUUAAUUCAUUAAUUAAUUUAUGUAUGUGAUCUUAAUUAAAUGAAUCUAAAAUGUAGAGUUGUUUAUAAUAGUGAUCAUAGAAUGAAUAUAUUUAACGGAAUUAGACUCAAGUAUUUAAUGACCUCUAUCAAAUCACAAAUUAUUCAAUAGAAUAUAAGUUCGAUUCAUAGGAUGAAACUUUUUUAACCAGUUUUAUUUACCUUCUAAUGAAACAUUGGAUUAUUAACGUUCCCUUCCCCUUAAAACAUAGAGUUAACAAAAACCAAAAAAACACUUGAUAUUCAAUUUAGUUUAGUCUGGUGUGCAUUGAAGCAAACAAUUUGAAAUUUACUUCUCUCGUCUUACGAGACAAUUUCCACCGUAUAUUCGCCAUUCAGUCUUAAAAUUAACAGUAAAUGAUUUUUUUAUCAAAUAGCUUAGUAGAUAAAGCUCACACAAUUUAAUUAUGAAAAUUGAAGUGUCGAAGGUUUGAACCCCGACCCCUACAUAUAAAAUGCAAUAUCCCUGUAUAUUUGAUCUUGAAAUUAACCGUAAAUAAUGAUUAUAUAUAUAUAUAUAUAUAUAUAUAUAUGUGUGUGUUCUCUCUCAUUUAUAAUUACAAUAACUAAAUCCUAUUUAUAAGAAGUGUUGACGAAAUAAAAUUUAAUUUUUUUGAUUUUUUUAUUUCUUAUAAUAGUAAAUAUUGAUUAUUUUUACAAUAAAAUGUAAAAAUUUAUAAUGAUUCUUAACUAACAAAGUAAUUGGACUCAAGUGAUUGAUAAUUUUACCAAAGAACAAAUUGUUUAGGAAAACUUGAGUUCAAUUCCUAUGUAGAAUAAUUCUUUGUCGAACUUUACUUACUUUAUGAGACUCAAGUGAUUUUUAACAAUUCUUGGAGAGAAUUAGAUGGUUAACAAAAAUAAAAAAUUCUUAUAAACAAUGAACUGAAGUUUUAUCUUAUGAAUGAUACUCCCUAGAAUAUUAAAGUCGAAAAAUAACUCUUUAUUUCAUACAAAUUAUUGUUAAUUUUUUUUAAAAGAAGUCAAAGACAAAAUAGAUUUGAAAACACUUAUUUGAAACCCAAGUGUGCCUAGAAGGGAAUAAAUUCAGUACACAUUACAAACAAGCUAGAGUGAGCAACCGAAAAACGAAAAGAAAAACAUUAGAGAGUAAUAUUACUCAUACAAACCAACAAACUAGAUCACCAUGAAUUAAAGUUGAAGAAGAAAUUUUGUAUGUGCGUCUUCAACCAUUACCAUGAAUGAAACUUAAUGUAAUCUUGUAACCAGACAUUCGGUAAUUUCUUGUUGUUAAAGAUAUGUGUGUUGUGCUCUUUCCAUCUACUCCAAACAUAUGCCAGCCAUAUUAACCGAAGACAAAACUUGAUAUCCUUCCUAAACAAAUCCAAGGCACCAAAUUGUAAAGCAUGGACCCAAAUUUUAGAUGGUGGUACCAUUGAAACUCCGAAUGAGCGGAGAAGAAAAUUCCAAAUACCGCUGCAGAAAUCACACCUCUAGAAAAAUAUGAUUAAUUGAUUCCUUCAUCCCACAACCUCCAGAAGAUAAUAACAAAACUCCAGAUAACACGCCACGCCAAAUUUUUUUUUUGUAGGAAUCCUUUUUUAAAACAUUCUCCAGGCGAAUAAUGACACUUUCACAUUCAUAGUUUUGUUCUAGAUUAAUAUGGAAUGAGCGUUAUCACGAGGUUUCUAAGUUUGGGUGAAGAUUUCAUGAGAAUCUUUAAUCGUACAUUCCUUAAAAGAGUUAUGAUACCAAAUCCAUUUAUCUACGCUAGUAUCCUGCAAAAAAUAUCAUCUAAAAGAAAAAUACACUUAUUCAACUCAACUGCUUUUCCUCCCAAGCAACAAAUACCUUCUCCACCGCCACGCAUGUCAAUCUACCCACCACCCUUGCCGCCUCAUCUUUGCAACUGUAAAGUUAUUGUUAACACAUAAAUCAAACAGACGCCUAAAUCUAGACCGCAAGCACCCCCCAUUCAUCCAAGGACCACGCCCAAAAGAUGGGUCAGAUAUGGGCCUUAAAAUGCGUACGAAGUUUGGACCAAGUCAUAUUCUAAAAUGGCCAUUACUUUUCCCACCCUAUCCAUUUCUCGCGUCUUAUCUUUUCUGCAAAAAUGUCUAUGAGGUUUCAGAUUAUAUAUGAGCAGCAAUUCGAACUCUCUCAUUUCAGUAAUUUCGAAUUUCGUUUUUGAAAGAAACAACAAAAAAACACAGUAAAUUGAUAAAAUUUGUCAAAUAAAAUAAAAAAAUAUAAAAAUACCACUAACUUGAUCAUAUGAAAAAUGCAAAAAAAAAAAAUGAAAAAGGAUUUAAACGAUAAAAUUUUCGAUUUUGAGGGGCGGAGUCCUGUAAGAAGUUCCUUCUAGUGGAGUAUUGAUCCUUAAUUUUUUUUUCUUAUGAUUUUCGAAAAAAGUUUCGGAACAAUAUGAUUAAGUAGCCCGAAAACUGGAUUUUCGUCCGGGAACAAUUAACAGGCUCAUAAAACUGAAUGAUGGAAGUUAGGAAGAUUAAUGUGGUCCUUAUACUAGCUAUCCACAUUAUAAACAAACUAAUAAUUAUGAAGAUAUAGUUUAUAUUAUAUAAUCCGAACUAUUUUUCCUUUGAAUAAGCGUGUUUAAAGGGUGUUUGAAUUUUAUAAUCAGACAAAAAACAAAGAAUGUGUCCUAUUUUUUGAGUAUUCGGAAUAUAAAAUCCAACAACUCAUUUUUUUUUAUCCUAAAACAUGGUAAAACUCGUUUCAGAUUGUAGAAUCCGAAUAUUUAUAUUGAUAUGCCGUAGCCCAAACACUAUUUAAUCACACAUACAAGGCACUACAUACAAGGCAUAUAAUCUGACCUUCUGUUUCACACAUACAUAUGAACCAUAACAGUUACCAAUAAUAUCAGUCACUAUUUAAUCAUAAUACAUUAACAAGGCAUAAGACUAAAAUGAUACUAAUAAAUAAAGUUAGAGGACCCACAUAACACAAACCCUAACGUUUAUUUGAAUAAAACUAACAGAAAAGACUAAAUGUAGUAACGGUGAGAAAUUUAGAGGAACAAAAUAAAUCAAUUUUUAUUAAAUAGUUAGAGGACAAAAAAUUUAAUUUAGCCUAUAUAAUAUAAGUAUAUAUAUAAAAAAUUUCCUUAAAAGAAAAACUGUACGUAUAAAAUAUUCUGCCAACAACCAAGCACAAAGAUAGAAAAAAAGGAUUUUGUCUCUAAGCACUUCAGACAAGACAAAGGUGUGAUAGAAUGGAUUUGAGUGAGUUAAGAAAAGCGGUGGAAGAAGUUGAACUUGUGGAUGGUCAUGCCCACAACAUAGUUUCUCUUCAAUCCAACUUGCCCUUUAUUCAUGCCUUUUCUGAAGCUCAAGGUGAUGCUCUUGCUUCUUCACAACACUCUCUAUCCUUCAAGGUUCUUUCUCUUGCACCAUUUUCUCCAUUUAUAUUGUUUUAUGCUAUUUCAACAUAAAUAAAUGGACACAUGCAUGUUAAGGACACUGAUAUUUUGACACACAAUUUUUAGGAGAGAUAAAGAAUUUCUGAUGUAUCAUAUAUUAAUAUGUAUAAAAUCAUAAACUAAAAUAGAAUGUGGUCAGAAUAUGUUGUUCUUGUGAAAUUCUAGUAUCUAGAAAAACAUUUCCGGUGUGAAAUUCUAGUAUCUAUUCAAACAUUUAUGAUAUAUCUGAUAUGUUAAUAUGGUAUAAAGAUUACAAGUCAAGGCUUGGAAACUUUACUGUUAUUUUGCUUCCAAUAAUACUUCUGAUUUUGGCAGUGUCAGGGUCAACUUUGAAAUUUUACCGUUCACUCAGUUUAUGACAGCAUCACACUUUGUUGUUGUUUUGGCUCUAGGACUGGGAAUUCCACAAUAUUUCUCAUGUUCUUGGUUGUCAAUUUGAGAUUCAAAUCAUGUAUAAUAAAAAAUAUUUUCUGAAUAGUGAUUUUUUUUUUUUUUUUUUGCUGAAUCAAGAGUGUAAAGACAUUAGAGAGGCUGUACGACAUCCCAAUUAGGUUCACAUUCCUUAGAACCUCUAAUCCUAUGCCAAAAUAGGGCCCGAGGAAUGCACUUGAGGAACUUGUGUUGAUGAUACCGUUUCUGAAUUUGUGCUAUCAGAAGAAGCAUGAUCCUCUUGGUGAUGUUCAGAAUCAUCAUUAGCUUCAGGGUCCUCGGUAUCAUUACUGUUAUGAGUAUCAUCUUCCAUAACCUUCCUGCUGUCCUGCGCAUCAACAUCAGUAGCAGGAGAAUAAUUUGGUAACUGCAUAGGCACUUCUUGUGACUGUUUGUUCGUAUGUUGCUCAUCCUCUUCAUUUGCAACAAGCACUUCCUCUGAUUGUUUGUUUGUGUUAUGCUCUGUAGUAACAUCCUUCAGUACAUUUGCUGAUGGCAUCUCUGUAUCUUGGGAGGAUCACGGGGAGGCUGAUCAUCAUGAAUGGUGAUGAACUGCUAGGAAGAAUCCCCCUUCUUUUUGCGUUUUUCCGCUUUGGGCUUGUCGUCCAUAGAUUUUGGACGCAAUUUAUUACAGAGGGCCAGAGAAUGCCCAAUAGUAUAGCAGUUGGAGCAAAAUUCUGGUAGUCGUUCAUAAACUACAGUUAUGUAGAACACAUAUUUUUCACGCUCCACCCUCACCUCCUAAAAAAUACGCUUGGAGAGAUCAACAUCAACCAAAAUUCGUGCAUAAUGACCAAAUAAAAAUAUUUGGACCAUUUCUCGAUUUGUGCGUGUCAUCCUUGUGCAGGGGCCAUGCUAAUUUUUUCUGUAUCAGAUAUUUUGAGAUAGUAUAUCGACUUAUUAUUCAUGUCAUAAAUUAAUUGACAUAAGAAAGGGGCUCGCUAGACAAAGUUGAAAACAAACAUGGCUGACUAUACUAUGUUUAGGUAGUGGUUCAAUAGGAUAAGUCAAGGUUCAUCAUAGUAAAUCAGGGUUCAUCAUAAUGAAUCAAGUUUCAAGAUAAGAUUCAUGUUCAUAGAAGAUACACACUAGAAAUUCAUAUUGAUACAGUUCAGUUUUGUAUCUGUUCGAGAUAUGACUGGCCUGUAUCUUAAGAUCUUGAUAACCAUGCUUAUGUGUGUUUUAGUUUACAGUUCAACCUUAUUUUCUGUGGAACUUCAAAAUAUGGAAUCUUAUUAUGAUAGUGUAUUAUAUAUGCAAAUGUUCAGAGAAAUCUAAGGGAUUUAGCUGAGCUAUAUGGAUGUGAGUUAUCUUUGCAAGGUGUUGAAGAACACCGAAAAGUCUCUGGAUUGGAAUUGUCAUGUUCAACAUGUUUCAAAGCUGCAAGAAUCUCUGCUAUACUCAUGGAUGAUGGGUUUGAAUUGGACAAAAUGCAUGAUAUAGAAUGGCAUAAGAGUUUUGUACCUCUUGUUGGUAGAAUCUUAAGAAUUGAAAAAGUAGCCGAGGAAAUCCUUGAUCAAGUGAGAUGCUUUUUUUGACAUUAAUUCUUUAUUUUCUGACUAUUGCAUCUUUUUACUUGCAAUUGUAUUCAUAAUAUGUGAAACCCCUGAAGGAUUUGCCUGAUGGAUCUUGCUGGACAUUGGAUUCAUUCACUAAAGCAUUCGUCUCUAAGUUGAAAUCAUAUCCUUCACAUGUAUUACUAUAUCUCUCUCUUUACACACACAACAAAAGCUUUUAUCUUUACAAAAAUAUUCAACCACAUACCUAUGUUCCUUAGCAUCAGCUUAACAGUUGCUGGUGAGAUCUAUGGAUUAAAAAGUAUAGCUGCAUACCGCAGUGGCCUAGAAAUCAAUACAAAUGUCACUAACCAAGAUGCCGAGGAAGGUCUCGGACAGGUGUUACUUGGUGAGUAGAAUAUGCAUAUUGGCUUUAAAAUGUUCUGUUUCAAGGUACUUUUCAUACUCAUUGUUCUACAUUUUCAGCUCGGAAGCCUGUCCGUAUUGCAAACAAGAAUCUUAUCGACUACAUCUUCUUGCAAAGUCUGGAUGUUGCUCAAUCCUAUGACUUGCCAAUGCAGAUACACACAGGGUAAUGAAAUGGUCUUCAAUUCUCAGAUACACGUUUUUACAUGCGACCAUUUCUAUUUUCUUAAAUUAUUACCGGUGUCAUGUUUGAUGUCUGAGAUAGAUACCAUGAUUUUCCUUUUACUUGUAACACUACUUUUACCUAAAUACUAAAUUUCCCUUUCGGUAAUUAGGUUUGGGGACAAAGAUUUGGAUAUGCGACUCGCAAAUCCUCUUCAUCUCCGUUCAGUUUUCGAGGACAAGAGAUACUCAAAAUCUCGGAUCGUUCUUUUACAUGCAUCCUAUCCAUUCUCAAGGGAAGCAUCAUAUCUAGCAUCUGUGUACCCUCAGGUAAACAUUUCAUAACUCAGUGACUUGUUCAUUACUAGAUUUGAAUAUGGAUUACAUGUUCACUGGUAGGUAAUAACACAAUCUUCUCAUUCAGGUUUACCUUGAUUUUGGUCUGGCAAUUCCAAAGCUGAGUGUACAUGGGAUGAUUUCAUCAUUGAAAGAGCUUUUAGAGCUGGCUCCAAUAAAUAAGGUGACAUUAUAAGUGUAUCUUGCAUAAUAACCAAAAAAAUAAAUAUACAAAUUUAAAAUUUAAUCCAAAUAUUGAAGCCUUGUAGCAAAGUAUAUGUAUAAAUAUUAUUGAGAUUGAACUUUUAAUAUAAGUUUAGUCAUGUAUAAGAUCUAAGCUCUCCAAUUUCCAUACAAAUUUAUACUGUUAAGUGUCACAUUGCAUUGCAGGUGAUGUUUAGUACCGAUGGAUGUAUAUUUCCAGAAACCUUCUACUUAGGUUGGUUAACAUCUACCAUGACACCGAAAGUGAAGAUUAUACUUAAGUGCCACAAUCAAUUUUUGUUGAUUUCCACAUGUCUUUAAAAAUUUCUAUCUUUGUUGUCAUGUAAGUGUGAAUAUUCACUUGUUAACCAUAAUUAGUUCCGCUUUCGUAGGUGCAAAGAAGUCUCGCGAAGUUGUUUUCUCCGUUCUGCGUGAUUCAUGCCUUGAUGGUGAUCUCACUGUUCCCGAGGCUGUGGAAGCUGCAAAAGGCAUCCUUGCAAGAAAUUCAAUUCAUUUCUAUAAGAUUAAUCUUGCUAACAGUGUUAUUAGUUCAGAUAAUAAUUUACAACUAAAUGUGAUUGAUGACGAUUUAGAGACUGAUGUUUCAUUUAUUCGUAUAAUGUGGGUUGAUAACUCGGGACAGCACAGAUGUCGUGUGAGUUUCCACUAUCCUGUUUCUCUCACUUCAUUAGUCAUUUUUUCACCUAGAGAUUUUUUUAUAUUUAUAUAUAUGUUAUGAGGUGCUGUCGAAUUUUGUUUCAGGCUGUUCCUAGGAAGCGUUUCAAUGAUUUUGUUUCGAAGAAUGGCGUUGGUUUAGCUUUUGCGACUAUGGGAAUGACCUCUUUUUUAGAUGGACCUGCAGCUGGGUCAGGGUUAGGUGCAGUUGGAGAAACAAGAUUAACACCUGAUUUGUCUACUAAAAGGAGGAUUCCUUGGUACACAAGUUCUCUCUUACGAGGACGUUCUGAGCUUGUUUAUCUUGUUACUUAAGUUCUAACUUCAAAUAAUUUUAUUUCUAUUUUUUUUCUCUUAAGUGUGACUAUCACUAUUUUAUUCAUCGGAUGAAACUCUGUUCCAUACAUUAUAGGAGCAAGGAAGAUGAAAUGGUUUUAGGUGAUCUAAAUGUUAAACCUGGCCAAGCAUGGGAGUAUUGCCCAAGAGACGCCUUAAGAAGAGUUUCCAAAAUUCUGAAAGAUGAAUUUAACUUGGUAUGUUGCAUAGCUUGUCUUAUUUUUGAUGCCAUAUAAUGACACGGUUGUGUUUUAUUUUUUUCUCUUCUUCUUCACUCAACAAUUAUGUUGGGUGUAUUUAUGUACGGUGUCAAAUUUAUGAUAUUCAAAUGACACUACUCUUAACUUAUAGUCUGCUUAUAGGUAAUGAAUGCAGGUUUUGAGAAUGAGUUUUUUCUCUUGAAGAGCAUAACAAGGUAUGGCAUACAAUAUUAUUUUGUGAUUUGAUUAGUGCAAUUUUCUAUGCCAAUCAGUUAUAAACAUGAAGAAAUAAACCAUUCAGGGAGGGGAAAGAAGAAUGGAUACCAUUUGACUCGAGUCCUUACUGUUCCUCAUCAGCAUUUGAUGCAGCUACCCCAGUACUUCGCGAAGUUGCUUCUGCUUUACAUUCCAUGGGCAUUCCUGUAGAACAGGUAAAAAAAGAGUUUUUAACUUGGUCAGUUAUAAAUGAGAUAUGAUAAUGGCUUUGUUUGAUUUUCAUUUGAUUUAAUUUUUCUACACAAAACUGUUUUCACAUAAAGUAAGCAAAAUUACUUUCAUGAUAAACUAAUUACAAUCUUCAAAUCAGAAGUUAUGAUAGUUACUGUGACACUUCAGAAACAUAAAGUAAGCAUUGAAUGUCGCCACAAACAUGAAUCAUUUUAGGUUUUUAUGCAUAAACAAAGUCCCUAAAAGGAGAAUGCUUAAUUAGGCCUUUGCUGGCCUUUUAUAUGGUAUUCAGAAGCUUCCUUUUAUAUUAAUUAAUUACAACUCUCUUGAGUUAGUUACAACUCCGUUAGACAGUUACUGGUUUUUAUGACAUACUUAUCUUUUUCAAUCAAUUCAACAUGUUCAUUAUGCAAUCUCUUACACAUGUAUCCCAUUGUCUGGAACAUGUAUUUAUUUAUUUUUUUCGUUUGUUGUAAAAUAUUGCAGUUACACGCAGAAGCUGGAAAAGGUCAAUUUGAGCUGGUUUUGGGACAUACCAUUUGUACUAAAUCUGCAGACAACUUAGUUUAUACACGUGAAACUGUUCGGGCAAUUGCCAGAAAACAUGGCUUGCUUGCUACUUUUAUUCCAAAGUAAGUGGGAAUAAUAUGUUCCGUGUAAGUAUGACAUAUUAUAUAUCCGUGUGUUGUUUAGAUUUCGAAUAUAAGAUUUUGAAUAAGUGUCUAUGAUGUGGUAAAUGCAUUCUAUUUUAUUCCGAAACUACAGAAGCAACAUAAUUUUAUGGUGAAAAAACAUGGUUGUGCAAGUAGACAGCAAUACCCUAAUGAUAUGGAACUGUUAUUUUAAUAGUAUUUAAAGACUCGAGGGUGUUUGGAUAAACAACGUAAUUAAAUUCUUAUUGUAUUAUGCAUAUGGUAUUUUAGCACAAUUAGUGUUUACGUAGGUAAGCUCUAUAUAGGCUCUGUAUAAUUUUUUUGGAGAGUUUAUAAAAAUAAGUUGAAAACGAAUUAUGAACAUAUCACAAAGUAUAAAAACAUAUCCAUCUAUGGAAAAAAUACUGAUGGUGUUUGUUACUUGAGGCACAAAAUACAUAUCAGAAUUGGGUGUAUGGAGUCUAGCUUAUAAAACUUAAUCAAAUUUGAUGAACUUCUUUUUUUCCUUCCCUUUUAUAUAGCAAAAAGUAAACAUUUUAAAGUGUAUAACAGUGUUUUCUUGUGAUAUUGAAGGUACAAAUUAGAUGAUUUGGGUUCUGGAUGCCAUGUUCAUCUAAGUUUGUGGCAGAAUGGUAAAAAUGUAUUUAUGGCAUCUGAUGGAUCAUCAAAGUAUGGAAUAUCAACUUUGGGAAAAGAAUUUAUGGCUGGAGUUCUUUAUCAUCUUCCUUCAAUUUUGCCAUUUGUUGCACCACUUCCUUCAAGGUGUCUGUUAUCUAUAAUGAUUCAUUAUCCUAAUAUCUUGGAUUUUAUAUUUUUAUAUAUAAAAAGCAAUAUGGUAAACAUAUCAUUGAUGUUAUAUAUACUUUAUAUAUAUAUGUUAAUCUAGAGUUAUGUUUUCUUACAUCAUUACUCAAUUUCAUUGCAGUUAUGAUCGGUUGCAGCCCAACACAUGGAGUGGUGCAUACUUGUUCUGGGGAAAUGAAAAUAAGGAGGCUCCACUGCGCGCUACAUCGCCGCCCGGAACUCCCGGUGGUCUAACGAGUAACUUUGAGGUUAAAUCAUUUGAUGGUUCUGCAAAUCCAUACUUGGGCUUAGCUGCUAUAAUUUCUGCUGGCAUUGAUGGGCUUCGUCGGCAUCUUUCUCUUCCUGAACCUGUCGGUAAGAUAAUACAAAUUAUACGGUGUAUAACAACAUGCAUAACAAAUAGUGCUUGUUUUAUGCUCCUUUUUCUGUUUUGCAUGAUGGUUAUAUACUAUUGUUUCAGUUCAUAUAGUUUUCAGCAAUUAUAAAAAAUAUUAAUUGGAUAAUAAACUUCUUAUGCAAUAUAUAUGAAACAGAUACAGAUCCAAAUCCAGAAAACCUUCAGAGAUUGCCAAUAUCACUUUCUGAAUCUUUAGAAGCUCUCCAUAAGGCCGACUUUCUUGAGGAAUUUAUCGGUGAUAAGUUGCUGACUUGCAUAAAAGCAAUUCGAAAGGUAUGUUGACUUAGAUGCUUUUAAAUCUAUAACCUAUGAAAAGCUUUUUAGUACUUGGAUAGUUUUUUGGGGCCUUUCACGCAGUAGCAAACCUCAGUCGUAGGAUGAAAGAUCGGACAACUCAUUUUAAGUUGUAUUUAAGACAACAUAGUUAAGUCAGAAUACGACUCAUCUGAUCAUCAUCCAACGAUUAUGAUCGCGUGUUUCUACUGCCUGUAGAGAAUCUGAUUUCUUGGUUUGCUGCAUAAAAUCUGAAUUCCUACCUAAAAAAUUAGCUGAUACAUAUGCAGUGAUAUAAUAAAUGCUUAAUUAUGUUGUUUAUCCAAAUAUGGCCUUUAUGUUUCUUAAUAAUUCUUAUAAAUAGCUUUAAGUACAAAGCUUCAGGGUUACUUAUUCUUUAAAACCAUCUAGUAAAUAAGUAAUUCAGAAAAAAAGUAGAAAACAUCUAAAGAGUAUCUGUAAAUAUGUGAUUCUCUCAACCAAGCUACUGAUUUUGAUUCUUAAUGUGACUUAUGAUGAUGCCAGGCUGAAAUUGAUCAUUACUCGGAGAACAAGGAAGCAUACAAGCAGCUCAUACACCGUUAUUAGGCUAGCUGUCUUUUUUUUUUCUUCAUGUGUAAUGAGUAAUGACUGGUCAGCGCAUUAUUUAGAUUAUGGAGAAUUUUUCACAUUAGAAAUUUUCAUAGCUUGCAUUACACUUUUGAGUUUAAUAGUUCUAAUAAAAUUAAGAAUAAUUGUAUCUCAUUUGGCUUGAGUUGUAUCUUAUUGCUGAUGACAUUUUCUCUUUACGGACAACUUAUUGUCAUCGAUAAUCAAUAAAAAGUUCUUAAUACUAACAGAAAAUGCAAAGCCAUCAAAAUAGAGUCAACAAAUUGGUCAGAGAAAAGGAAUAUGUGUCACAUGAUCCAAUAUUCAUGAAUAAAGCUAACCAAAAAUAUUAUUGAAACCUCCAUAAAAGGAAGCAAUGUUUGGUAAUGAACUGUGUGAAGAAUUUGGAUGAUUUCUACUCUCUUUCCCUCUUAAAAAACUGUUUAUUCUCUGCUUUUCUACAUCCAGUACUUGUACUUGGAUUCUAUCUUACUGUUAAUGCUUAGGAUCUAAGAAAUGGAUUUUCUUUGCAGCUUACUUGUAAUUUUCUAUAUUUCUUUGAACUGUUUUGUGGAGAUGUCAAUAGGGAAUUCUGAAGUUAUCCUCAAUUUGGGAGCUAAAAUUGAAACUUUUUGGUUGGAAAGGUGGUUCUAUCUCCUUGCUUGUCUAUGCUAAUAUUAAUAUACUACUAUGCUUUAUAGUAACCUUGACUCUUGGUACAUAGAGGUUACUGUGCUUUCUGUCUUAGCAUUAAUUCUCUACGCAUGGUGUGGAUUAGUGGAUAUGACUCACAACUCACAAGGAUUAGGGUGCAGUAGAGUUAAGCAUUGUGUGGAAUCAAAGUGGCUUUUAAUAGAGAUGGAGUGGAACUAUGCUUCACUCAAUUCAGUUACAAUAGUUUUUUAAGGACGUAAAAAACUAAUAUUCUUGCAACAUUAGUAACAUUUAAAAUAGUGUGAACCAUCAACUGUUACGGAUGGGUACAAAAGAUGUUGUGAUGGACAAAAGAUGAUUGCAUAGUCAGGACCACCAGAGCAAGUGAAAGUGCUGCUCGUAUUAUCGUAAGCAUAGCUAUAGGCAUCAGGACAUUGGUUCUUGAAAACCAUAGAGUAAUUUGUAGGUGGACAUGUCGCUUCGGUAUUGUAACUUCCACGACAACAAUAUUGAUCUGUAUUAAAAGCCAAGCAAGCACUCUUACAAGCAACGACACUCCCAUCAGAACCUUUUACUUGAAGUUCUGCGGGACACACAGCGUUGAUAUUUGCUGGACAACUAGCGGCUUUGCAAGGGCCAUUCCCACCUUGUGGAGUUACAAAAAUUGGCACGUUGAACCCGUCAACGUUGCUCACAUCGUAGAAAUCUUGUCCUCCAUUUGAUGCCAUGGUAAUUUCAACUAAAGUUGCUGGUGGGAUUGCGCCAGCACCAUUGCACCCCACUUGACCAGACCCACAAUCGGCUGUGGCACAACUAAACUUUUCUUUGUUGAUUGAGCAUCCGGUUCUUGCCCAAAAUCGACCAGACCAUGAAGAAGGAAGGUUCACCGAGUACGUCACUCCUUGUCCCAACUCAAAACCUGUUGUUGAUAAUUGAGGGGUUUGAGCUGUAGUAAAGGUUCCUGGCCAUACAGUAUAUCCACAUCUAUUCGUGAAUGUCACCUUGGCUCCUCCAACCACUGCAUACAAAAUGAAAAUAUUCACGCACGUAUUCAAGCACUAAGGUUAUUUUGAUUUGACACAAAAUGACAAAUGUUGCCUCAGCUGGAUAUUUGUUAUCAGAAAUAACAAAAACACCUGAUUGUGUGAAAAGGAAGUAAAAUUGAGCUAAAUGAAUUGAUUAAGCUUAUUGAAAAUGUAGUGGAAAAGAAAUGAAAUAUACCAUAGAAGAGGAAUGCAAAGCUAAGGCAGAGAGCAACACGUGUAAUCGCCAUAUUCUUGUUAUUGGUUUCUCUUUUCGG